GCACACGAGUGAAAUUCAAAAAUAGGUUAUGGGUUGUCAAGACUAUUAAAGCAAACAAAGCUCUUGAGAUUGAGGAUCCUCAGAGUUGGUGACAAGGAAAUUUCCGAGAUUUGGUUGGUGUUAUGAAGGAAGGAAGAAUGCUAACAGAAAAUAUCAACACCUACUGAUGGGUGUUUGGGCUUUAUCGGGUCAAGCUAAUGACGUUAAAGAAGCGCUUCCUGG
rnacentral:lncRNA from 1 species